GUUUCAGUCCUUUCUCUGUGCUGAUCGGAGCUGUUUUUGGAGCUUCAGUAAUGAUGAUCUUGUGUGUCAUUAAACAUCUCUGUAAACGAAGACUGAAAAGAAAACCUUACCAGAAGAGACGAGAAGCCACUAAUUUACAGGAGCAUGAGGGAGAAUCUGUUUAUGCCAAUAGAGCCAUGCUGUCACUUGCUGAAGCUGAUAAAGACCCAGAAUCCCUUCAUUAUUCCUCCAUUCACUUCACAAAC